GUCUUGGAUCCAGCUGGCCUGUCUUCUUCCACCCUCUGGCUGACCUUGUGGGCCUCACCCGCAUUUUUCCGGGUUUUGCUCACUCUGCUGCCCCACCCCCACUAGGGUGAGUGAGCAACCUCUCUUCUCCCCCUCCCCAUGCUCUUUCCACCUGGAGCCAGAGCUGGAAGGGACUGGGGAUUUCAUUUCAGCCCGGGCAGCUCACCUUAAAGGCCAGCUCCCUCAGCUCCACUGGUCCCUGAGGAAAGAAGCUCCCCUUGGCCUGCCUCUCUGUCUGGCUGCUGCCCAUGUGAUCAAAGCUCCACAGCACAAGUACUGGGAGGCACCCCUUGCCAGCAAGCUUCCUGCCAGAGGUCUGACCCCCCACUGUGGGGCCAGGAAUCCCACCACACCACCUGGGUCCGUCCGGGGUUCCUGUUCUGCAGCUACCAUUUCUGUCUGUACUCACUUCUCUCUGUCUGGAUCCAUCUCUGUGCUACAGGUGUGGCUCUGGGGUCUAGAUGGUUCUCAGCACAAGGACCCCAGGUUCAAAGGACACACCCCACUCUUGGCCCUUCUUUCUUAGUGAAAGGUCCCCUCUUGCAUCUGGAAUUGGUUUCCUUUAAGCUUAGCAGCAUGGCAAAAUCGACUGAUUCCCUC